UACGUAGGGUGCGAGCGUUAAUCGGAAUUACUGGGCGUAAAGCGUGCGCAGGCGGUUCGUCGUGUCUGAUGUGAAAGCCCCGGGCUCAACCUGGGAAUGGCAUUGGAAACUGGCGGACUAGAGUGUGGCAGAGGGGGGUGGAAUUCCGCGUGUAGCAGUGAAAUGCGUAGAGAUGCGGAGGAACACCGAUGGCGAAGGCAGCCCCCUGGGCUAAAACUGACGCUCAUGCACGAAAGCGUGGGGAGCAAACAGG
rnacentral:rRNA from 1 species